UGGGGAAUAUUGCACAAUGGGCGCAAGCCUGAUGCAGCCAUGCCGCGUGUAUGAAGAAGGCCUUCGGGUUGUAAAGUACUUUCAGCGGGGAGGAAGGCGAUAAGGUUAAUAACCUUGUCGAUUGACGUUACCCGCAGAAGAAGCACCGGCUAACUCCGUGCCAGCAGCCGCGGUAAUACGGAGGGAGCAAGCGUUAAUCGGAAUUACUGGGCGUAAAUCGCACGCAGGCGGUCUGUCAAGUCGGAUGUGAAAUCCCCGGGCUCAACCUGGGAACUGCAUUCGAAACUGGCAGGCUAGAGUCUUGUAGAGGGGGGUAGAAUUCCAGGUGUAGCGGUGAAAUGCGUAGAGAUCUGGAGGAAUACCGGUGGCGAAGGCGGCCCCCUGGACAAAGACUGACGCUCAGGUGCGAAAGCGUGGGGAGCAAACA
rnacentral:rRNA from 1 species